AAUGUGGUGUCCCGUGCGCUUGUCACGCAACACGCCACAUCCAUAGCUCGAAUGCGUCCGAGCAUUAACAAGAAUGGCGCGCGGCCAAGCGGCUGGCUGCUUGCCUCGAGCGCUUCUCUUACUUAUAUUCUCCCUCAAUUAUUGAUCACAAUUGACCGCUUUUGUGUACUUGUGGAGUGAAAUCGUCCCGGCACGCAACAGGUGAGGAAGUCACAUGCGAUGGCGCUGCUCUUUUGCACCUCGUUGAAGAUGUGACGAUGCUGGUAAAGUGUCAAAGAAAAACAUUUGGGACUAGAACCGAUUCAACGGGAGUGGAGGCAACAAGAUGGCGAUGCGACGGUGGCGGCGCGUUGGUGGCUUCUAAAUGUGCCGUCGCUUCUAACCUAUCAGUAGGAUUCCACCCUUGAUUUUUGCAGAGUACGUGAGCUGUCCAUUGAUGACAUUCCGUUAUUGUAAAGUGUCUCCAAGCAAGCAAAAGCUUUCGUCUCGGCACAAAGGGAAUGCCGGGCCAGGCGUGGUUAUCGACGUGGAGUCUGCGAAGACGCUUCGUCUUUAGGUAGGUGGCCACCGUGAGGGGAGGGGAAGUGAGGGAGCCCCGGCGUAGCAACAAACAACGACGACAAGCAAAUGGAAGAAGAAUUUGGUCGAGCGUCCAGCGGCGGUGUGGAAGACUAGUGAUUUUGUUGUUUUGUCUGGCAAACGACAGCAAAUCAUGGUCUCCCGCACUGCCACCUUGGUGACAACACCCGCCUGCCACGUGCAGCAUCAAAUCAGCAGCAGCUUUUUUGCCGCACUUUUUCCUUUCGGAUCAAUGCAAAGUGGAGCCUGCCUGCCUAUUGAUCCAACAGCCACACUAACGCUAACUGAUAUUUAUCUUUGGUAUUGUUUGUUUGUUUGUUUGUUUGUUUGUUUGUUUAGAUUCGCGCACACAUUCUGCAAAUUUGAAGUGAUUCUUUUAUUAAGGUCCUUCUUGUCAAAGCAAAGUGACACCAUUGUGGGGGAAAAUGUUUGUAUUAAAGCUUACGUAUCACGGUAAUAAAUUCUACUGGUUUACAUUUUACUCAUUCAGUUGUGGUCUAUAUAAAGUGGAACAGCGAUGCUUUUGUCUGAAUCCCUCGUUUUGAUAGCAUCACAGGUCCCUCUUUUCUACUUGUUCUGAGGUGCGGUUCAGAGCAAGCUGUUUUGGUGCGGUCUCUUUAAAUGCAAAUGAGAUACUUCACACCCCGCUCCCUCCAGGCCGCAAGAUGUGCACCUCCCUUUCCGGUCGACAUAUUUGUAGUUUUUUAGCCGAGGUAGCGUUCACUUGCGCCACAAAUUUUUUUAUUGAUUAAAAGAUGUCAACGGCAGAAGACUUGUCCAUACAGACAUAACACGUAACAAAAUAAAUCCCCUCACGAUAUUUAUGAACACGUCUUGUCAACAAGCACUGCAGUCAAGUUAACAGUACGCUAAUGCUAGCGUUAGCGAGAAGCUAACGAAUGCAUUUAACGCAUUAUUGUGUUCCCCAAGAAUAAUACAGCACCUUCGAU